AGAGAGUUUCUCAAUAAACCUCUUCUUCUGAGGAUGGGCUCCUCUCCUUCUCCCAAAUUCCACACCGACAAGAACUUCAAAAAUAUACUGUGCUUCUACCAUAGAAAAGUUUCAGUCCGUUUUUUCAAGUUACCAUCGGAAUUAUUAUUGUUUGCAGGGGGGGGCUAUUCGAUUUCAAACAAUAAAAAUUUCGGGCUCCCACAUAUUUUUACGGGUUCAUUGUUAAAUUCGAAAAUUUCAAUGCUUUCAUGUAUGUACUACCUGAGAAGUGCCUCGACAAAGGGCCCAAAAUGCUGAAAAUUCAAGAUUGCUUGUUUUCUCGAAUAAUUAUUUCUUGUCUUUAAUUUUCUGCUAAGUCAGCAUAUUAUAUUUUCCACACAAAAUACCUGUUGAGGGAUAUGAUUCUGUGUUUAAUUUGUGAGUAAUGUUACUACGGACCUGCAUCGUUCCAUGAUUAUAUUGCUUCUUUGAUUUCUGCACAAAACCGUAUUUUGUCAUUCUAUGUUCAGACAGGGGACAAGGUGUUUUACGAUAUUACUAUGAAGUCCGUACAAAUGAAGAGGUUGGUGUAAAUAGGUGGCUGCUUGAUCGCUACGCCUCCAUGAAGCGUGGCCGGCCAAUGGCUCAAAAUGCUUUACUCUCUUCUCCUCAUGCCUCUUCUUUGUGUGCCUUGGGCGACAAUAAGCUUGAUGUUCCUGAUUCGGUAGAAAGGGAGAGGUUACGUACAAAUGAGCGUAGGCGAGCUCGUUAUGCCUCAAAAAAACGCGCUCGCCUGUUCGCUCCAACGCCUUUGGUCCCUUCUCCUCUUGCUUCUUCUUCGUCUGCUUUUGGCAAUGGUGCGUUGUAUUUUUCUCAUGUUCCCUGCAUCUCG